rnacentral:rRNA from 1 species
GAUUAAGUUAUUAAGGGCGCACGGUGGAUGCCUUGGCACUAGAAGCCGAUGAAGGACGUUACUAACGACUAUAUGCUUUGGGGAGCUGUAAGUAAGCUUUGAUCCAGAUAUUUCCGAAUGGGGAAACCCAGCAUGAGUUAUGUCAUGUUAUC